rnacentral:lncRNA from 1 species
CUCUGCCUCUACAUCAACUCCUACAACCAUGCCCACGUGUUCUGGUAGAUUUUGGUGGCAUGACUGUAUUGUUUCCGAGAAAUCUACGAUUUAUUCAGAAAUAGAAGGAAUUGAACUGCAUUGAUAUGGAACACGAUGUUGACGUUAUUGCUGAGAACGUAGUAAGAUCGCGCUAUGAACGUAGUUUAAUCGUGGUAAGAUCG